rnacentral:rRNA from 1 species
UGCCCUAGUAACGGCGAGUGAAGCGGCAACAGCUCAAAUUUGAAAUCUGGCUACAUUCCGUGGUCCGAGUUGUAAUUUGUAGAGGAUGCUUUUGGUGAGGUGCCUUCCGAGUUCCCUGGAACGGGACGCCAUAGAGGGUGAGAGCCCCGUACGGUUGGAUACCAAGCCUCUGUAUAGCUCCUUCAACGAGUCGAGUAGUUUGGGAAUGCUGCUCUAAAUGGGAGGUAUAUCUCUUCUAAAGCUAAAUAUAGGCUAGAGACCGAUAGCGCACAAGUAGAGUGAUCGAAAGAUGAAAAGCACUUUGAAAAGAGAGUUAAACAGCACGUGAAAUUGUUGAAAGGGAAGCGCCUAUGACCAGACUUGUUUCUGGCAGUUUCGUUAGCCCUCGGGCUGAUUUACUCUGUCCAGUACAGGCCAGCAUCAGUUUGCUGUCGGGGAGAAAGGCUCUGGGAACGUAGCUCCCCCCUUCUGGGGGGGAGUGUUAUAGCCCUCUGCAUAAUACCCUUCGGCAGACUGAGGACCGCGCUUCGGCAAGGAUGCUGGCGUAAUGGUCAUCAGCGACCCGUCUUGAAACACGGACCAAGGAGUCAACCUUAUGUGCGAGUGUUUGGGUGUAAAACCCCAGCGCGUAAUGAAAGUGAACGUAGGUGAGAGCUUCGGCGCAUCAUCGACCGAUUCUGAUGUUUUCGGAUGGAUUUGAGUAAGAGCACACAGGGUUGGACCCGAAAGAAGGUGAACUAUGCUUGUAUAGGGUGAAGCCAGAGGAAACUCUGGUGGAGGCUCGCAGCGGUUCUGACGUGCAAAUCGAUCGUCAAAUAUGAGCAUGGGGGCGAAAG